GCACGCAGAGAGCCAAGAAGCAUAUGUCGGCCAGAGACUGUAUCGUUUCAUCCCGACCAAGGUAAAAUGAAGCUGUGUUUAUUUAUGGCGUACAUACGGAAGCGACGACGCAACAGCCAAGUGUCAAGAGAGGAAAGCAUAAUGAAGUGGUGAUUACCAUCGAUGUGGCCGAUUCAACCUGCAAAAGGUUUCCGAGGUAUUCAUGGCCCUCCCACUGUAAGCCUCAGGCUAACUCGGAGAAAUGUCUAUCGAAAACCAGCCUUCAUCGACAAGUCGGUUUAGCCGCUUUUCUUCGCCAUCACGCGCACAGUCCUUUUGUUUUAUUGGUGAAUCAGUAAACGGAAAUAUUAAAGACGAAUGCUUUUGACGCCA